rnacentral:tRNA from 1 species
GCCUUCGUGGUGUAACGGUUAACCCACUUGGUGCGUAUUCGAGGGGUCCAGGUUCGAGUCCCGGCGAGGGCA